GACGAACGCUGGCGGCGUGCCUAACACAUGCAAGUCGAGCGAUGAAAUCCCUUCGGGGAUGGAUUAGCGGCGGACGGGUGAGUAACACGUGGGUAACCUGCCUCAAAGUGGGGGAUAGCCUUCCGAAAGGAAGAUUAAUACCGCAUAAUAUUAGAUUUUCGCAUGAAGAACUAAUUAAAGGAGCAAUCCGCUUUGAGAUGGACCCGCGGCGCAUUAGCUAGUUGGUGAGGUAAUAGCUCACCAAGGCGACGAUGCGUAGCCGACCUGAGAGGGUGAUCGGCCACAUUGGAACUGAGACACGGUCCAGACUCCUACGGGAGGCAGCAGUGGGGAAUAUUGCACAAUGGGGGAAACCCUGAUGCAGCAACGCCGCGUGAGUGAUGAAGGUCUUCGGAUUGUAAAGCUCUGUCUUUUGGGACGAUAAUGACGGUACCAAAGGAGGAAGCCACGGCUAACUACGUGCCAGCCGCCGCCGUAAUAC
rnacentral:rRNA from 1 species